rnacentral:rRNA from 1 species
CAGUAGCCGCGGUAAGACGAACCGUGCGAACGUUAUUCGGAAUCACUGGGCUUAAAGCGCGUGUAGGCGGAUGGGAGCGUCGGCCUCUGAAAUCCCCCGGCUCAACCGGGGAAGUGGAGCCGAAACGACCCGUCUGGAGGGACGUAGGGGGACCUGGAACUUCCGGUGGAGCGGUGAAAUGCGUUGAGAUCGGAAGGAACGCCCGUGGCGAAAGCGAGGUCCUGGACGUCUGCUGACGCUGAGACGCGAAAGCCAGGGGAGCGAACGGGAUUAGAUACCCCCGUAGUCCCUGUCUCUUAUA